rnacentral:rRNA from 1 species
AUUGAACGCUGGCGGCAUGCCUUACACAUGCAAGUCGAACGGCAGCACGGGUGCUUGCACCUGGUGGCGAGUGGCGAACGGGUGAGUAAUACAUCGGAACAUGUCCUGUAGUGGGGGAUAGCCCGGCGAAAGCCGGAUUAAUACCGCAUACGAUCUACGGAUGAAAGCGGUGGACCUUCGGGCCUCGCGCUAUAGGGUUGGCCGAUGGCUGAUUAGCUAGUUGGUGGGGUAAAGGCCUACCAAGGCGACGAUCAGUAGCUGGUCUGAGAGGACGACCAGCCACACUGGGACUGAGACACGGCCCAGACUCCUACGGGAGGCAGCAGUGGGGAAUUUUGGACAAUGGGCGAAAGCCUGAUCCAGCAAUGCCGCGUGUGUGAAGAAGGCCUUCGGGUUGUAAAGCACUUUUGUCCGGAAAGAAAUCCUUGGCCCUAAUACGGUCGGGGGAUGACGGUACCGGAAGAAUAAGCACCGGCUAACUACGUG